AGGGCAUACCAGUUCUCUUAUGAUCACCGCAGUUAAACAACGUCAAGCCUGGUCAGUACCUAGAUUAGUGACUGAUUGGGAAUACCAGGUGUUGUAA